UACAGAGGGGGCAAGCGUUGUUCGGAAUUACUGGGCGUAAAGGGCGCGUAGGCGGCCUGCUAAGUCGAACGUGAAAUCCCUGGCUCAACCCAGGAACUGCGUCCGAUACUGGUUGGCUUGAAUCCGGGAGAGGGAUGUGGAAUUCCAGGUGUAGCGGUGAAAUGCGUAGAUAUCAGGAGGAACACCGAUGGCGAAGGCAGGUCUCUGGGCAUUAACUGACGCUGAGGAGCGAAAGCAUGGGGAGCGAACAGG
rnacentral:rRNA from 1 species